AAAAACUAUCUGUCAGAUUGUCACUGUCAUCAAAAAUAACCUGUUGCAAAAUUUUCGAAAAUGUAAAUCUUUCAUUAUUUGGUUAUGUGUUGGCGUAAUGUUUACGUGAGUACAGACGCCGUGAACGUCGUAGCUCAGUUUGCAAUCUGGAUUGUUUGUAGUAUUGUCCUCUUCGUUGUCUUGAUAUUCUUGGUUGUUGCAGGCGUUAUAUAAACAAUAUGGCUGUCAGAAAAAAAGUGCAGACCAAGUUUCAAGAACAUCAAAACAUGGAGAAAUUAAAAGGAAAUGAAGAUGUGAAGAAUGUUUGUGAAUUGUGUAACAGUCUCAACAAGAUAUCGACUAGUCCCGUAAAGUGUGUCGUGAUAUAUAGUGAAUUGUUUGGUAAUAGUGAUUUACUAUUUACAAUAUUAAAUCAUGUUUUGCAACAGAGUU